rnacentral:rRNA from 1 species
GCGCGAAACCUCCGCAAUGCACGCAAGUGCGACGGGGGGACCCCAAGUGCCACUCUUAACGGGGUGGCUUUUCAGGAGUGUAAAAAGCUCCUGGAAUAAGGGCUGGGCAAGACCGGUGCCAGCCGCCGCGGUAACACCGGCAGCUCGAGUGGUAGCCGCGUUUAUUGGGCCUAAAGCGUCCGUAGCCGGUCCGAUAAGUCUCUGGUGAAAGCCCACAGCUCAACUGUGGGAAUCGCUGGAGAUACUAUCGGACUUGAGGCCGGGAGAGGCUGGAGGUACUCCCAGGGUAGGGGUGAAAUCCUAUAAUCCUGGGAGGACCACCUGUGGCGAAGGCGUCCAGCUGGAACGGACCUGACGGUGAGGGACGAAAGCCAGGGGCGCGAACCGGAUUAGAUACCCGGGUAGUCCUGGCCGUAAACGAUGCGGACUUGGUGUUGGGAUGGCUUUGAGCUGUCCCAGUGCCGAAGGGAAGCUGUUAAGUCCGCCGCCUGGGAAGUACGGCCGCAAGGCUGAAACUUAAAGGAAUUGGCGGGGGGGCACCACAACGCGUGGAGCCUGCGGUUUAAUUGGAUUCAACGCCGGGCAUCUCACCAGGGGCGACAGCAGGAUGAUGGCCAGGUUGAUGACCUUGCCUGACAAGCU